rnacentral:rRNA from 1 species
GACGAACGCUGGCGGCGUGCUUAACACAUGCAAGUCGAACGGAAAGGCCCUGCUUUUGUGGGGUGCUCGAGUGGCGAACGGGUGAGUAACACGUGAGUAACCUGCCCUUGACUUUGGGAUAACUUCAGGAAACUGGGGCUAAUACCGGAUAGGAGCUCCUGCUGCAUGGUGGGGGUUGGAAAGUUUCGGCGGUUGGGGAUGGACUCGCGGCUUAUCAGCUUGUUGGUGGGGUAGUGGCUUACCAAGGCUUUGACGGGUAGCCGGCCUGAGAGGGUGACCGGCCACAUGGGGACUGGGAUACGGCCCAGACUCCUAUGGGAGGCAGCAGAGGGGAAUAUUGCACAAUGGGCGGAAGCCUGAUGCAGCAACGCCGCGUGCGGGAUGACGGCCUUCGGGUUGUAAACCGCUUUCGCCUGUGACGAAGCGUGAGUGACGGUAAUGGGCAAAGAAGCACCGGCUAACUACGUG